rnacentral:rRNA from 1 species
UACGAAGGGGCUAGCGUUGCUCGGAAUCACUGGGCGUAAAGCGCACGUAGGCGGCUUGUUAAGUCAGGGGUGAAAUCCUGGAGCUCAACUCCAGAACUGCCUUUGAUACUGGCGAGCUUGAGUCCGGGAGAGGUGAGUGGAACUGCGAGUGUAGAGGUGAAAUUCGUAGAUAUUCGCAAGAACACCAGUGGCGAAGGCGGCUCACUGGCCCGGUACUGACGCUGAGGUGCGAAAGCGUGGGAGCAAC